ensembl:lncRNA
UUUGGGAACAGGGAGCAAACCAGCCUGUUUCCUUGGAAUUAUCUCAGAGGAGUGCAGUUCUCUAGGAAUGGAUAAAAAGCCUAGUGAUAUUCCAAUAGGCUGCUCUCUAGUGGCAGUCCAUGUCAGAUGGAAUAGCUGGCACUUUGUUUUCUGACAGUGGAUAUAUUUGAAAGAGUUGACAUGAGGUUUGAAUUUCACACUGCUCCUGAGGCCACAGGUGGCAGAGACCCACUCUGGGAGUUUGAGAACAGGCUGUGCUAUGGAAGCUGGGGAUGGACAGGGAACCCUGGUGUGCUGCGGUCCAUGGGGUCACAAAGAGUUGGACAUGACUGAGUGACUGAACUGAACUGUGGUUCAGAUGAGGUCAACAGAGACACCCAGGGAGGACUGAGAAACAUGCAGUACCCAGCAGUGAGCACCCAGUGGUAGUCUGCUGCUGCAAGAAUAGUACUGGUCCAAUCCACACCCCAUCUCUUCCAUGUUCUCAUUUGGAAGUAAUGUCAUUAAAUGCCAGCGACUCAAACUCCAGGAGAUAGCGGAGGACAGGAGAGCCUGGUGUGCUGCAGUCCAUGGGGUUGCAAAGAGCCAGACACAACUUAGUGACUGGACAACAACAACCUUCCAGUCAACUUCAAGCUGACCUCAUCACCACCAAUUCCUCCUCCAACAGCUUCCCAUAAUUCAUUCUCAAUGCCUGGUCAAGGAUAUCAUUAUCAUGCACCAAUUUGAUCAGUUGAUUUCUCUGCUCAAAAUGCUUGUGAGAUGCCUUCAUUGGCUUCAUGUAUUACUUCUGGGAAGUGAUGGCCAGGAUCAUCCAUCCUCUUGACUUGACACUCUUUACACAGACCCUUUACUUGUCUGCAAAGAUGUAUCCUUUUUACUUCAUGUCUGCAAUUUUCCUGCCACCUGGCUGCUCAUGAAAAAGGAACAGAUUCUAGAACAUCACUUCCCAAGGAUCUCUACCCGUAAUAUGACUCCUUCACAAGGUAUUCAGCCAAAGAAUUAUCAAACUUCUGCAGACAAGACAGUGAAUAAACUUUCCACAUCAUGUUGAU